AGAAAAUUUAAACAAAAAUUAUACAGCUUAUUAGAGUGUGGGAAUAGGGAUCUAAAUUUUAAAUAAAAUUAUAUAUAUAUAUAAAUUGGUGCUGAUUUUAUAAUUGCGCAGUUUGUUUAGUUUUUUCUUACUUUUAAAUUCCAACUUAAAAUUAUGAGGUUUCAGAAAUAUAUUGAAAGUUUAACAAUGUUUAAAAAUAGAAAAGCAUGACUGUUCAUGCUUUAAAAUGAUUUUUAAAUUUGUAUUUUAUAUUGUUUUAUCUAUCUGUCUUUGCAAGCAGUCUUCAGGUUAAAGAUACUUCUAACAGGUUACAGUACAUUUCCUCUGUAUGUAAAUUAGAUGGGAUAAUAGAAUUCAUAACCCAUAAUAUUCUUUGAAAGCUAAGCUUUAAACUUCAUUUUAUGUCCUUUCACAAGUGAAUUAGUUUAAAACAGAAAGUGGCCACUUGCCAUUUUGACAUCGACUCAUUUUGCGAGGCUUAGGCAGCUAGACAUCGUUUAAAACAAAAUAUUAACUUAUAUUACAUGUAUAUCUAUCUUUUGUCAGUCGUCUCUCAGUUCUUGAGGUAUAUUAUUUUAAUCAUUCCAUGCCUUAAUAUGCUUGCAAUACAAGAAUAUCUUCAGAUGUGUGAAUACCAAAAGGUUUCUGGUUUUUCGAGUCAGGAAAUCAACAAGCAUUGGGCUGUGGUAGCCAAAAAACCAUAGGUUAAAUGAACGACCACAACAUACAUUUGUUUUAUUAAUUAAUGGUUAACAAAUAAAACCAGACUUGUCUAACAUACUUUCCAUCAACAACCAUUGUUACGUGCAAACAUAUUGCAUAUGUUCCUUCACACACCACUGCAUUUCCUAGAACUGCUGAGAGGACUGUAUAUAUGAUUUGAAACCUAGGUUGAUUUCUUUUCUCACUCUUGAAAGGAGUAUUUCUUUGUGAAAGCAGUUCUUCCAGCUUUGUUUUGAACCAGCUAAACUGUUUUCUAUAUUACUCUAACCUGUUGUCCUCCACAUUCUAUUGUCCUAAUUGUACUGUUUGCUGAUUUGUAUUUAUGUCUUGAGACAGUAACUUUUUGAAUAAAAAUAAACCUAC
rnacentral:lncRNA from 1 species